UCAAUGCCUCAGAGAGUGCGGUUUCCUCCUUUUCUGGAAAGUGGCCACCCGCGAAUAAGGGUGUCUAGUCAGCAAAGAAAGUGUGGCAUAAAUGCUGAACUUCGGUGUCAAUGAAUGCAGAAAUUACCUCAAAAGGGUCAAUACGCCCUUAGAUUUACAUUUAUAUUAAAUCAAGUGAAUUUAAAAAUGCAAACAUUGCUACGCCCCGUCAGCUGGCAGAUAAUUAACGCUGAGGCCAAGAGUGAUGCCACGUAUCCUCUUAUUUUUACAGCAUCCCAUUAAAACGUUAUAAUUACUCUUGCAAACAUUAUAUAUCUUAAAAACAGUGUUAUUUUCAAUAGUUAUAUGUGAAAUUUGAAAUGGUCUAAUAGCCAACUAUAGGAUCACCGCAGGUGUGCAAACUAAUUAAGAAGGAACUACCAAUCAGAGGCUCUAUUUUCAGAAAGGCUGUGAAAAACUAUUUGCAGCACAUCCGAAAAGUAAUAUUGUGACGGUUAGAUAGUUCUAUCUCGUUCCUCGCGCACGAAUGUUUUGAUCUCUUUGGACUUGUGUUGCAAAACUAUGACGCUUCCCGUUCAAUAAUGGGAGAAAUUACCAGUGCUCUCCCCGUCGGUGGCGUAAGGUGUUAAUGGAAGGAGUAACCUAGUCAGGGAGAGCGGGAGUCGUAGAAGAAAAGCACUCUCCUUGCCUCAGAACCAUCAAGAACUGUUCCGAACCCAAACUAAAACGGAGAGGACAAGCAAAACCCCGGAGACUGGGCUGAGAUGGGCUUAGAGGGCAGCUUCUCGCGGCUUGGUAUGGAAGGCUAAACGGGUCAAAAAUACAUGCUCAGCCCAUCAGAGCACGCAGGGAAAGUUCUCCAGGAAACCUGUAUAAGGAAAUUGGAACGUCGUUGCUCUUUCAAGCUCAAGUUUGAAUCCACACCAAUUGCGGACGUGGCAGAUGAUGGCCUUCAGAGUCUUCCCGCCUUUAUUUGUUUUGGGGUGUCAGAUGGACACAGGUGUGCAUCAUCAGCAAUCAGACCCUCAAUCAGCUUCACCUGCAGACCCCCACACACAGGCAGGCACAGACUCCACUAAGCAGGGGAACGUAACAUCCGGGUGAGUGAAAACAUAGUUUCCUUUUAAUUUUGGGUGAACUGCAUUUUCUGUGACCGCCCUCCAAACCUCUCUGGCUCAAGGACAUGCUGUUCUUCAGUGAAGACUACGCGUCUGGCUUCCUCAGUUGAAGCUCUCCUUCACUUCCUGCUUUGGUUCCUAUAACCUAUCAGGGAGGACAAUAUCACAGCAGGCACCGUGUGUAAACCGUGUUACUCGGCCACUUCCUGGCUCUCCACAGUGGCCGAAUCGCUGCCAGACGCAGGGUAUAUUUUUAACACACAGUCCCUCAGGUGACCCACACCAGGGCGUGAGAGGGUCACUCGCACCCCUGUCCAAAAUUCCCCAAACUUAUCUUCCUGUUGACACGUCGUUGUCCGACAGAUCACAUGACCAGGACUGAAGAUCAAAAUCACUGAGCUUCUUUUUGUUUUUUUUUUGUUGGGAUCGAAGCAUUGGGUAAUACCACAGCAGAUUCCCACCCUUCACUGAAACCCACUCUAUCAGCUACUAAAGACAUACGCAAAUACUGUAAAUAUCAGUGAAUCUGUACAGCGCUGAAUGAAAGAAAACUAAAUAAAAACUACCCAGUAUGUUUCA